rnacentral:SRP_RNA from 22 species
CCCUCACGUGGCGCUAUCUGACUGAACUCCCCCAGGGCCGGAAGUCAGCAAGGGUAGGUUGGCUCUGGCGGGUGCGUGGGGG